rnacentral:rRNA from 1 species
GACGAACGCUGGCGGCGUGCCUAAUACAUGCAAGUAGAACGCUGAAGGAGGAGCUUGCUUCUCUGGAUGAGUUGCGAACGGGUGAGUAACGCGUAGGUAACCUGCCUGGUAGCGGGGGAUAACUAUUGGAAACGAUAGCUUAUACCGCAUAAUAGUAGAUGUUGCAUGACAUUUGCUUGAAAGGUGCAACUGCAUCACUACCAGAUGGACCUGCGUUGUAUUAGCUAGUUGGGUGGGGUAACGGCUCACCAAGGCGACGAUACAUAGCCGAGCUGAGAGGGUGAUCGGUCACUCGGGGACUGAGACACGGCCCAAAUUCCGACGGGUGGCUGCAGUUGUGGAAUCUACAGUAUGGAUGUGAGUUUUACCGAUUACGCUGCGGGAGUUUGGAAUGUUGUCGUAUCUUAAUUUUUUUGUAGAUGAAUAAUGAUUGGUGAGAUUGGAAAGGUGCCAUUUGGGUCGGUUUUGUGUGUGUAUUGUUGUGGUUUGUGUGUGUGUUUUUGGCUGGUUGUUGUUUGUGUUUUUUUGUUUUUAUGUGUUUGUUUUGUUGUUUUUGUUUUUGUUGAAAUUUUGUUAGUGUGAGAUGGUUAUGGGGUGAGUGUGUUGUAUGUGUUGUGUUUGCAACUUUGUCU